UGGGGAAUUUUGGACAAUGGGCGCAAGCCUGAUCCAGCAAUGCCGCGUGCAGGAAGAAGGCCUUCGGGUUGUAAACUGCUUUUGUCAGGGAAGAAAUCCUCUGGGUUAAUACCUCGGGGGGAUGACGGUACCUGAAGAAUAAGCACCGGCUAACUACGUGCCAGCAGCCGCGGUAAUACGUAGGGUGCGAGCGUUAAUCGGAAUUACUGGGCGUAAAGCGUGCGCAGGCGGUUGUGCAAGACAGGUGUGAAAUCCCCCGGGGCUUAACCUGGGAACUGCACUUGUGACUGCACGGCUAGAGUACGGUAGAGGGGGGAUGGAAUUCCGCGUGUAGCAGUGAAAUGCGUAGAUAUGCGGAGGAACACCGAUGGCGAAGGCAAUCCCCUGGACCUGUACUGACGCUCAUGCACGAAAGCGUGGGGAGCAAACAGGAUUAGAUACCCUGGUAGUCCACGCCCUAAACGAUGUCAACUGGUUGUUGGACGGCUUGCUGUUCAGUAACGAAGCUAACGCGUGAAGUUGACCGCCUGGGGAGUACGGCCGCAAGGUUGAAACUCAAAUGAAUUGACGGGGUCAUAGCUGUUUCCUG
rnacentral:rRNA from 1 species